GUUGGACGCGAGCGUAGUAGCCCUAUAUAGACCCAUGAAUUUAUAUAGGGAGUAUGGACGAGUGUAAAUACAUACAUAUAUUAUAGAGUCUGAGAGGCUCGAUAUUUUAUGGGAUAAAGGUUUUAUCGCUUGCGGCAGGCAUUCGUAUUUUUCCUUAGAAAUUAAUUUGGGAACAUAAUAUUUUAAUUAUUAAUUUAUUUUUGUCCACUCACUCUAACGUUAUUAAAUGUUUUCCCCUGGGCCCUUCGUUUUAAAUUGCCCAGUCUGCAGAGUUCGGGUUGGAUCUAGUAGGAGACGAGGCAUAGUCACCCGCUUUUCGGCCAGUUUUCGCCAGUAGGUUACCUGUUCAACCUACUCGUAUUUUCUUGCUUCCGCUUAUGUUUAGUAGCUCUGAAUACUUUAGAAUUUUUGUAUAUUAUGUGAUGUUCAGAAGUGUAAUAUGAAAUUUUCGAGUUAGGGUUGUCCAUCUACAAGGGAGAUUUUCUUAAUCUUUUCAGUAAAUUUUCCUUGGAGGUGGUCCCCGCACGACUUAUUCUGGGUUUCAGGGUGAAAUUCGGGGUGGGUCGUGUCACUAUAACCCUCUACUCCUGGAGCCUUCGUGCUCCCUAAAUCACAACAUCUCCCAAUUUAUUUACUAACUUUAAUAAGCAUAAUCCCACAACCGACAAUCACAGUUUAAAGCAACUCUAAUUGAGAGGAAAUGAACUAGAAACAUAAAAAUGAGCAGAAGCUAUACUAUUGACUAUGACUCUUCUCCAUGUACGCCCGACCUCAAUUAUGAUAACCUACAAACUGGGCAUUUUUAUAACGAAGGGCCUAAGGGAAAACAUUUGAAACACGUUAGAGUGAGUGGACAAAAAAUAAUAUUAAUGAAAAUAUUUAUGCUUUCCCAAUUUAAAUUUCCACAUAAAAUAUGCUGCAUGCGACAACUCAAAAGCUCUCAACUCAUCAAUUGGCAAUUACAUGUGUUUGAGCCCAGCGGGGAUUUUGGUCCAAGACUCGCAAUAAGUUUUGGAUAACAUUUGGGCCAGUACUUGUGGCCCUUUUUUAAAUAUGAAGCCCAUGUAGGAUGGCGAGCUCUAGCAGCGCCCGAAGUAGAAUUUGGUAAGGACUCUGAUACCCCGCGAGGUUCGUUACCUCGCGAGAUCCUCGUUUCAGUUCGCAUAGGAGUCUACAGUGCUUGGCGAGGCGGGGCGAUAGUAGAAGCCUAAGCAGAGUCUGUUAUGACACGUGUCACGUGGGUAGCAUGGUUUGCGGGCGAGUUGUGUCCUUGUGGAAUUCUAAUUGUUGAGUCCGAAUGGGUUUGUGAUUAAAGAUCAAUCGGCUAGCAGCAAGGUGCUAUAUAAGGGUGCUCGACAACAAUUCGACACACAAUCAAAUCAUACAAAACUUACAAACCCUUGAGCAUCCUCAAAACCCUAAGUUCUAAGUGCACCUCGCCUUAGUUCUCAGAGCCGGUUCGGACUCGUCCUUUCUUCCUGAUUAUUGCUCUGCUCGCUCUAUCAGUGAGUAUCGAUUCAUAGGUGAACAGAGGUUUGCUCGUAAUCCCUCGUCCGCGAGGUGGCUCCAGAAACCCUUUCGCUUGAUUAGAAGUCUAGUACAACGCACUCAUUCCGCGCCCGCGCGGUGGCACGCCCCGUAACCUUUUUUUUACUUUUGACGUCACUGGAGUUACAACUCUACCCUGCUGAGACGCGUGGCCAAAACAACAUGACCAGCUCCGGCUAGUCUNNNNNNNNNNNNNNNNNNNNNNNNNNNNNNNNNNNNNNNNNNNNNNNNNNNNNNNNNNNNNNNNNNNNNNNNNNNNNNNNNNNNNNNNNNNNNNNNNNNNNNNNNNNNNNNNNNNNNNNNNNNNNNNNNNNNNNNNNNNNNNNNNNNNNNNNNNNNNNNNNNNNNNNNNNNNNNNNNNNNNNNNNNNNNNNNNNNNNNNNNNNNNNNNNNNNNNNNNNNNNNNNNNNNNNNNNNNNNNNNNNNNNNNNNNNNNNNNNNNNNNNNNNNNNNNNNNNNNNNNNNNNNNNNNNNNNNNNNNNNNNNNNNNNNNNNNNNNNNNNNNNNNNNNNNNNNNNNNNNNNNNNNNNNNNNNNNNNNNNNNNNNNNNNNUCGGCGUGAGACGGCAGAGAACGGACGAAGUCCGCACUUUAAGCCAGAGUGCGGACGUCCGCUCUCUAUCCUUUCUGUAUAUAUUUAUAUAUGUAUGUAUUUACACUUGUCAUACUCCUUAUACGAAUUCUAUGAAGGAAUAAGAAAAAUAAAAAUUCAUACAAGACUACUACGCUUGCGUCUAACGCUCACGUCACACCAUAAUGAAAUUUUACCUCAUUAUGGCAAAAAAGCACGAGUGUAUAUAUACGUGCAUAUUCCCUAUAUAGGCUACGACGAUUGCGUCUAACGCUCACGUCACAUCAUAAUAGAAUUUUACCUCAUUAUGGUGGAAAAGCACGUAUAGCUAGCUAGCAUUUAUUUAUAUACAUACUAUCCUCAUAAUCAUCCAUAUACAUAUCUACCGAAAAUCUCAUUUUCAGUAACUCUCCAAAAAUAAUGAAAAUUGCCAAUUAUAAAAGAAGCAAUAAAUAUAUGACUCCACCGAAAAUCUCAUUUUCGGUAACUUUCCAAAUAGCGAAGUUAACAAAUAAAAUAAGACCAUUUACUUUCAAAAAUAACUUCGCGAAAAUAAACAAUUCUACAAAUUGAUAUUCAAUAAAAUCAUUCAUUUAAUAUUGAACCGCAUGCUUACAAUUUAAAACGAACGUCCACUCACAACUUUAGGCAUACGGCCGAUGAAAUCCAAAUCGCCACUCAAGAGAGGUCUUCCCGAAUCCUGGCACAAUAAUCAUGCUUAGGACCAAACUUCAAUUUCAAAAAAAAAUAAUACUUAAAUAUAUAACCCAAAACUCUUCCGCCUAACCCACUACCCUUUCUAGGUUUAAGCUUAUCGGAUUCACGCCAAACUCCAACCACAGCCUCAAUUCAUUUAUUUCAACAUUCUAAAACAAUAAUAAGGAAAAUCCAACGGUCAGAUUCUACCCCAUUAACCGCCAAAUUCACAAAUCUUUCAAAAAACUCCAAAACCUAUUCAAAACUCCUCCAAAAAUUCUAAACUUCAUUCCAUUAAACUCCCCUUAAUAUUACACAUUUAAAACCAUAAAAAUCCCCCUAACAGCGGCGGCCGACUCCGGCGACUCCCAAUGCCUACCAAAUUUUAACAGCUUCAUCCUCUCAACACACUCUACAACUAGCACCAAGUCCAAUUUCAAGCUUAACUAGGCUAAUCGAACAAAAACUUACAAUAACACCCUAGAACUUCAAACACUCGAAUCUCCUUAUCUAAGCCAAGAGGGAGUGAAACCUUUGGAGGGAUGAAUGCACGGGAGGAGGCUUCCUUUUGAGCCAAGUAGCUCCGGCUAUAGCGGCUAGAGGAGGAAGUUCUGGCGACGGAAUACCACGGACAGUCGGAGCUUCCAGGCGCGAUUUCUCCUUCACGACGGCAUUAGGGAGGCUGCCAUCGGUCCAGGAAAGAAGAGGAGAUGAUGGCCGACCGUUUGGGACCGGUGAGGCGACUGCAGUGGCUGGACGGCGACGGACGGUCGGGUUGAAGUUCCGGCAGGGAGAGAGCUCGGGGAGGAAGAGAGAAGAGAAAGAGAGAGAGAGAGAGAGUGGGCUUUUGACUCCACUAACCCGGUCCACUCCCUUAAAACCCAAAUCAACAAAUAAAACACCCCAAAAAUAAUACCCUAUUAAAAAUUACCUUUUUACUAGCUAAAAUUUACCAUUUUUACCGCCGUCACAUUUGUUUUCCUUACGAAUAAUUCCUCCGAAACAAUCAUCUCCCAAAACCCUCUAAAGACUAAUUAAACUAUAAACUCAUUGACGAAGACGGUAAAACUCUUAUUAAUACCAAGCUAGUAAAUAAGGUAAAAAUUUAAGAGUCGGGAUGUGACAAGCUCUGUCGAGAACUUAGAGCCCUAUAUAUUCACAUAUUCAGCGACUCUCAGCUCGUAGUCAACCAAGUGGCAGGAGACUUCAAGGCCAACCAGAAUAACCUGGGAUCUUACAAAAGUCUGGCAGGAGCUCUCCUGCAACACUUCACAUCUUACAAACUCACACAAAUCCUAAGAGCCAAGAAUUCCAAGGCAGAUGCCCUUGCGAGACUCGCCACGGCUCCUCCCGAGUCCACUCCGCCGGAUGUGCACAUAGAAAUCUUGGACAAGCCUAGCAUCUCGAAGGCUUAUUUAGAAAUCUUUACCCUCAAGACAACUAGCCAGCCAUCAUGGAUGGACCCAUAUGUUGACUUCCUCUCUAAUAGUACCCUGUCCCAGGACAAAAGAGAAGCACAGCGGUUGCGCCACAAGGCUUCACUCUACUUACUCAAAGAUGGCAAACUAUAUCGUCGGGGUCAGUCAUGUCCUUUCUUAAAGUGCUUACCCAUAGAAGAAGGGCACAAAGUGUUGACAUCACUUCACAGUGGUGUUUGUGGAAACCAUGCGGGUGCUCGGAACCUCAUGUUCAAGGCACUCCGAGCUGGGCAUUAUUGGCCAACAUUAGAGCAAGAUGCAAAGGCAAUUGUCCAAGCAUGCCUUCAAUGCCACAAAUUUGCCAAUUUUGCUCAUCAUCCACUAGUGUCACUAUCUGUUAUCAUCUCCCCAGUCCCUUUCAGCUAGUGGGGACUUGACUUCGUGGGACGGUUACCUACAGCCCAGGGACAAUUCAAGUUUGCAAUAGUUAUUGUUGAUUAUAAUACAAAGUGGAUAGAGGCAGAACCCUUUGCCACGAUCACAAUUGAAAAAGUGAUAAAUUUCCUAUGGCGUAACUUAUACUGCUGGUUUGGAGUACCCCAAGCCUUCAUCACAGAUAAUGGGACACAAUUUGACAAUGACACGUUCAGGGAGUUUCUGUCCAAACAAGGGACCACAAUCUUUUAUGCCUCCCCAGCACACCCUCAGACCAAUGGCCAAGUGGAAGCCAUAAACAAGCUCAUUAAGCAAAAUUUGAGGAAACGCUUAGAAGACGCCAAAGGGUUGUGGGCUGCCAAGCUCCCGGAGGUCCUCUGGACACUUCGUACAACAGCUACAGGUGAAUCUCCAUACCUCUGGAGGAGCGCUGAGACAGAGCACACCUCAGGAAUGUCAACAAUAAACAGAAAAUUGCUCAACACUACAACAGGAAAGUUGUUCCCCGCCCCUUGAAAGUAGGUGAUUGGGUCAUGAAGGAAGUCAUUCCCCACCCCACUGGACUCAAGGCAAAAUGGGAAGGCCCACUGGAGAUAGUUAACGCCCCGGGACCAACUACAUUCUAUCUCCGAGACACUGAUGGUCGAGUACUACCCCGCCCCUGGAAUGCUCGCCACCUCCACCUCUACCCCGUUUAAACUAUCAAUCUCGAGAGCCGACAUAGUAGCUAGCACUUCAUCAUUGUGUACCUAAGCCUGUUAGCGGCUCAAAUCAAAUGUACACCUUGCCGAUUAGCGGCUUAUCCUAAAUGAAGAUGCUAUAUUUUUUCUUCAAAUUUUCUAACGUACCGUAUCAAGAACACGAAACAAAACCAGAAGUGAACCAUAAACGAACACAUUCAUUUAAAUAAACAAGAAAUACCAACAAGUAGCAGCCUGGACUCCCAGACAAUCCUUAAACUAUAAAUUGUUCAAAUGGCUAACCACGCCACAAACAACAAAUAUUGUCUCAAAAGCAAACAAAAGAAAGCCACUGAAAUGACAAAGUACAAACAAGGACAGUCAUUUCUCCCUAGAGGACGUGCCACUAGACUUGUUCACGCUCCCGCCACUCCUCGAGCCGCUACCUCGUCCGCGACUUUGGCUAAUGUUCAAUGAAACUCUCUGCCCUUAAGCAUGCUUAGAGCGGUCACGAGAUGCCAGGGGAGGCCUCACAGAAAUAUUAGGACGCACCAGGGAGCUCACUAGUUGCACUUCAGUGACAGGAGACUUGCUGGCUGAAAUCUUCGGCACUUCAGAACGUGCGGGUGCCACAAGCCCAGGUGCCCGAGGAUCAGUGGGUUGAACAGAAGAAGACGCAACCUGCAACACCACCACUUGAGCGGAAGGGGACCCCUCGAGAUGCGGAGCCCUUAGUGGAGAAGCAGUAACCACCGCAAGUGGCUGAGGCGUGCCCACAACAAGAACUUCUUUUGGCACGGUAGAGGAUGUAGCACGCCAAGCCUCAUGCUGCUUAGCCAGCGAUCGCGAGAUCUCAGCUUGCUUCCUCUGCUCUAGCGUCAUCUGCUCACAAGCCUUCUUCACAGCAUCCCUCUCGACAUACCACUUGCGCAUGGCCACCUCAUUUAUCCAGCCGGCUUGGCAACCAGUCUUGCUCAGUUCAUCCUGUCCCCGAUUAUAAGCACUUCUCAGCUGCUACUUAUACACUUCACUCUCCCAGAACACCUUUCCCCAGCCCCGGCAGCCCUUGCACACUUCAACUCCCACACCCUCUCUUGCUCCGCCAGGGCCUGCGUUAACCUCGCCACCUCAGCUUCCAGAGACACCGCCUAGGCAGCGGCCACCUCCCAGCCUCCACCUGCUUGUUCUUCUCCUGUAUAGCCUCCUUCAACUCAGCAACCUCCUUCCAAGAGGCAGCAGCCUGGUCUCGGAAGACAGCAACAUCCUACUCCAGCUGCUGAAGACGCUGCGAGAGGGCACGGUUGUUCUCUUCCGCCUCCUUCACUUGUUGGCAUUUCGCUUCAGCAUCCUCUUACAAGUGAGUAACAGCCCUCUCACUUGCAACAUACAUCAGCAGCGUCGCCUGCAGACAACACCAAAACAUAAACAAAAAGACAGGGAAUAAAAAAGCAAACUGAUUAUGCACUUACCCGAGUUAAUUUCUCUUUGGCGAGAGCCAUGCCAGCCAAGGGAUCAACCUCUUCCAAGGCAUGGAUGUCACGAGAGCGGUGACGCAUGUCGUAUGCAAUCUGCGCCAAGUAGGGCUGCGCCUCCCCGGUCCCCUCUAGCUCUUGGGUGAUCACAGCCAGGCUUCCAGAACUCCCAAAAUGCCCCUCCUUGCGGGAUUUCUUUGGUUGGCAUUCGCGUGAUGACUCAACCCUUUCCUUCCUCUUCUGAGUUUUCGUCACGACCACCUCUUCUGACCCUUGCGCAAUGGGUUCCAGCUCCUCAACCAUAAAGUCCUCGCCACCAGUUUGGGGGUCACCCACAUUCCCCAAAGGCAUAUCUUCCACCCCCACCGGCUCUAAGAUAAACUCCUCCCCCACAGGGACUUGAUCCUUGUUGCCCUCAUGGUCGCCACCCUCGGUUUCAGUGUCUUCAACAUUCACCUCUUGGUCACCUAAGCCCAUUGCUUCUGCCACCAAGGGAGGGAAAUAAGCAUAGUCCUCGUCCGCCAGCUUCAACCUCAAAAAAUCAUCCUCACCCUCAUCAAACUCCGCCUCUUUCCCUUCGCCAGUCUCCAAGUCGAUAUCAUAUCGCUUGGCAUGGUCAGCCUCGGCACGCAACCCAUCUAGUACAUCCUCAUCCGAAACCUUGUCAUAAGGACCCUCCUUCUUCCCCGACCCACCGUCCCGAGGCAUCGUCACUACACCAAACAAAAGAUAAAGGUCAAGCAUAGACCAGAAAACAUAAAAUAGAAAGACAUUCAAAACAAAAGUACAGACCCAGAACCUGAGCAUAACUGAAAUGACUAUAUAUGCCAAGGCGGCAUAUCCAAUACGAGCUCCUAGACUCGAAUGCCCACAGCACCCGAUGUAUCCGACUCUCUAUCAGCUCGGUUAACUUAUACUCUUGGGGCACUACACAAAGUCAGCAGUCAGCAGAGGCAGAACAGUACAAAUAGUAAGAAAACACAACAUACAAAACAUGGUACCUAUUUUUUGGAAGGCCCCGGGAACUCGGAAGGGAUGUCCAUGCCACUCUUGCCACUGCCCCUUGACGAGAAAACACUUCCGUCGCCAACUUUCGUUCGUGGAGGUGGGCAAGUCUUCCACCAAAAUCAUGAACUUCCCCUAGGCCUUCAAAGUCACGCAAUCUGGACUACCCUUCUUCGCGCAAUAUGCCAUGUGCCAACAAGCAUUAAACUCCUUAAAAUUGGGGAAUUCUUGUUCCAGUAAGCGAAAUAGCACUCCUAUCCCCAGGAUUUGUCUCAACAUGUUCGGGGUAACUUGUCCCGGGGCAAUAUGCAGACACACCAGGGUGUGCUGCACAUACGGGGGUAGCGGGAACAUCAACCCGCACCUUAACUGGUACUCGUAUACCAACGUAUAGUCGUUUGGGCAAAAAAUUAAUACCCUUAGUAAGAGGUCGUAACAAGACCUCAUCGAGAAUACUCCAAUUUUGCCUAAGUGCUUUCAACUCUGAUGAUGUCAUACUCUCGCUAGGAGAAUCCCAGACCAAAUCAUUAGCACGCCGAGAACUCACCAUGCUAAACUCUUCUACCUCCUGCAAUAGAGGAUCAGAAGAGGACAUAUGAGACCCAGCAUCCGUAACAGGAAUGCCCUCCCCUAAGUCAAGUGCAACUUCCGCCAUUAAAUUAUCCAAUUCCGCCUCCCACCGGUGUAAGGUGUCCGAAUCAGGAUCAGGCGAGCUAGAGACAACAACAAUCUCCUCGCUGGACACCCAUACCGGGUCUGUCAUACCCUACAUCCUCACGGGUUAGACUCUCGCUACCUUAACCCUAACUAUCCCGACAGAAACCACCAAAUCCCUAACCCUAGAAUCACCCAACAAAAACACAAGCAAUGCGAAAAUCAUAGCAAAGCCCCCCCACCAUUACAAACACAAAACAAAAGCAAAACCUAGAGUAGGAGUUGACAAGUUCAUACCUUGAAAACACGGGUAAGUGUAGUGGCAGUGACGCUGGUUGCAAACAGCAGAGCACUCGCACUCAACUGAUCAAUGAUGAAAUUGCACGUUCCCCAGGUUCGAUUUUCAUAGUUCGUAGAAGCGCCUUUCAAAACACUUGAAAAACUGCUCUUUCAAGCCCUAAUCCCUCUUUUCAAAAUGCAAACUCCCUCCUCUGUUUCUCCAGAUCUAUUUAUAGACACCUAAAUCAACCACAACCAUCCAGAUCUUCCCCACCUCGACAGUCAGGGAAAAGCCACGUCCCUUACGAUCAAAACGUGUGUUACAACACGCCCCACGAUCCCACGCACGCGCGUUUAAUGCACGAAUCGUUACAACCUUUAAUGAUGUCAUAAAUGACCACGUGUCUCAUAAACUGGCCAUUUAUGAUACCCGUGAGAUAUGUCGAAAAGGUCGUAUUGAGCUCUCGGAACAUAACUCCAGAUAUGUCGAAAAGACUGUAUCGAGAUCUCGGAACGUAACCCCAGUCACCUCGCGACCCUCGCGUGGGGACUUGGGGACUCGACACCAUUCGUCCAACUCCCAAGAGAGCCACAUUCUCGGCACGACUGGAAAAUAACUCCCCACCCAAAAGCUCUAUCGGACUGGGGACUUGAGGACUUGUUAAUACAUAGACAAAACACUCGGCCAUGCCGAGAAUGUGACGUCAUUACCUAGAUGCCGGAGAUCAUUCCGGCCAAGACAGCAUCGACAAGACCUCUAUGGACACCCAAAAAGUGGAGGCAUAACAACAAUGCGCAUGCCAGACCCACUUUGCAACUGCUAAACACCCCCGAAAGGGGGGAGACUGAGCAGCACCAUGAAAACAGUCCCACAUCGGAAACUAAUGACAAAACCCCCAGUACUAGCCUUUAAAACAAACACGAAUUCCCAAAAGAGGUAGAUUCACUAUUCCUCUCAUACUCCCGUACUAUACAAGUAGCAACCAAACGUUGACUUAAGCAUCGGAGAGUCGAAGACUGGGCCACCCCAGUUCCGACUCCUGAUGCGUUGUUACUUGUGCAGCUACAGGAACCAGAGCUAAGGAUUCGACCUCCUGUCCCGAGAUCCCGAGAAGAGGUAGAAACAUCCAGUAAUCAUCAGAUUCAGUUUCUCCCAUCAGAAUAUUGUUCAUUAAUUAUGACAUUUCUUUUGAUAGUCAUAUGACUAAGAGCAAUAUUAUAUUCUCAUAAAAUAAAGUUUGCAAGCUCUUGUGCUUAAGUCCAUUCCUCUUUUGAGUGAAUAAGAAUAGAGCCCGAAGUGGCUGUCUCUUUGGUAUUUUGAUAGUCAUAUCUCUAAGAGCAAUAUAUAUUCACAUAAAAUAAAGAUUGCAACCUCUUGUGCUUAAGUCUAUUCCUCUUUUGAGUGAAUUAGAGCAGAGCCCCAAGUCGUUGUUGUUUUGGUAUUGUUCAUGCUGAAAUCAAAAUUGGGUUCAAACAGUUUUUUCUCAGGUUACUACAAUGUCUCUUAAACUUCAUCCACGCUUCAAUCUUGGUAUUAGUAAUUGGAAUCCACUUGAUAGUAUAGAAUGGUACCUGCAUGAAAGAGAGAGAAAGAGAGAGAGAGAGAUCAAGGAAGAACUCUAUAGAUGAAUGAGGUUAUAUACAGCCAACUUACAGUUGGAGGGAUUUUAGUUACCUGACUUACGAGGUGACCUGAGGAGAUUUCAAUUAGCGAACGGUGCGUUUGUUUGAUUCCAAUGUCGCAACAAUGGAUGACUAUCAAGAGUUGAAGUGUAUGGAACAGACUUAUGUUUUGCAACCUUGUAGUUUCAAGCAAGGUGUUGGGAAAUUGAUCCCCCGCCACACAAGUGCUAGAAAUUAGAUGGAAAGAAGAAAUAAACAAGCCAAGAAGAACACAAAAUUUAACGAGGUUUGGCCAAUAUCCUUGCCUACGUCCUCAUAAAGUAUCACCUUCACUAAUAAGAGAAUUACACAAGUACAAGAUUACACUACUCAAGUUUAUACCCAACCCAAGCCCUUGUAUCCAAAAGGACACCCCUUGUACACCCUCUCUCAACCUAGAAGAUUACUCUACCCCAAGAGUUAUUCGCACUCUUGAACACAACUCAAUCUAUCUUCUAUACACGAAGACCCUCAGAGUUGUUCUCUUCUCUCCUUACUUACUUCAACACAAGCUUCACCCUUUUAUAACCUUUGAUAGAAGUCUCUAGAGUUACUCUAUCAAUGUUCAUUCAUGACCAUGACCAAACCUUCCAUCUUCCCCAUUAUCUCUAUGUAACUCCCUAGGAAGACUAAGAGUUAUAUCAUGAAUUUAAUCACAUACAUUUAUUCUCACUUAACUAUACAUCAAUUCCAUGCAUAACUUAUCACCAUGAAUGCACAAACCAAUAACUCUAUGCAUUCAUGUCGUGCAUAACUUAUCACCAUGAAUGCACAAACCAAUAACUCUAUACAUUCAUGUCAUGCAUAAUAUCUCCACCAUGGAGGGAUAAACACAAAACCCAACACAAGGAACUUGGAAGGGUUUGGUACAAAACAUAUAUUAGAGUAUUCCAAAUCUUUUGCUAGACUACAGUUUUCUUGACGAUCUGGUCCCCUGUUUGUAAUAAAUUGUCAAGACCCAUCCCGGAUUUUAUCUUGAAACCCGAAGUAAAUCCUGCGGAGUCCACCUCAAAGGAAAAUUUACCGAAAAUUCGGCAUAACCUCCCUUGAAAAUAGACAACCCUUCCUAAAUAAAAACACCUGCAAACACUUCUAAAAGUUCCAACUCCAACCUUAUAACUCUUAGAGCCUACGUGCUCCCCAAAACACAAUAUCUCCCAAAUUAUUUACUAACUUUAAGACUUAAAAUCCCACAACCAACAAUCACAGGUUCAGAGCACUCUAACAAAGAAGAAAUGAACUAGAAAUAUAAAAAUGAGCAGAAGCUAUACUAUUGACUAUGCCUCUUCUCCAUGUACGCCCGACCUCAACUAUGCUAAUCUGCACACUAGGCAUUUUUAAAACAAAUCGCCCAAGGGAAAAAAUUUGAAAAUGUUAGAGUGAGUGGACAAAAAUGAAUUUAAUGAAAAAUAUUUAUGCUUUCCCAAUUUAAAUUUCUAUUGAAAAUAUGCUGCAUGCGACAGCUCAAUAGCUCUCAACUCAUCAAUUGGCAAUUACAUGACUAGCUCCGACUAGUCUCCAAACUUAAUAAAAUAAAGCCUCUCAGGCUAAACUAAUAUUUAUAUAUAUAUAUUUACACUCGUCAUACUCCUUGUACUAAUUCUAUGAAGGAAUAAGAAAAAUAGAAAUUCAUACAAGGCUACUACGCUUACGUCUAACGCUCACGUCACACCAUAAUGAAAUUUUACCUCAUUAUGGCAGAAAAGCACAAGUGUAUAUACGUGUGGACUCCUUAUAUGAAAACAUAUAUGAACCAGAUAAGAAAGUAGUUUUCAUAUAGGGCUAUAACACUUGUGUCUAACACUCACGUCACGCCAUAAUAGAAUUUUACCUCAUUAUGACGGACCAAGCACGUAUGGCUGGCUAGCUAGCAUUUAUAUACAUAUUAUACUCAUAAACAUCCAAUAUACAUAACCACCGAAAAUCUAAUUUUUGGUAACUCUCCAAAAGAUGAAAAUUACCAAAUAUCAGAGAAAGCAAUAAAUUUCAGCAGAAGAAUAACUAAUCAACAAUAUAAUGCAUCGCAUGCUUUUAAUUAAAACAAAAGUCCACUCACAACUUUAGGCAUAAGCCCGACGAAAUCUAAUUCGCCACUCAAGUGAGGUCUCCUCGAAUCCUGGCACAAUAACCAUGCUUAGGAUCAAACUUCAAUUUCAGAAAAAAUAAUACUUAAUUAUAUAACCCAAAACUCUUCCGCCUAAUCCAUUACCUUUUCUAGGGUUAAGCUUAUCAGAUUCACGCCAAACUCCAACCAUAGCCUCAAUUGUCAGGACCCACCCCGAAUUUUACCCUGAAACCCGAAGUAAAUCCUGCGGGAACCACCUCCAAGGAAAGUUUACUGAAAAUUUGGCAUAACCUCCCUUGAAAAUGGACAACCCUUCCUAAUAAUACCUGCAAACACUUCUGAAAAUCCAAAUCCAACCUUAAACUUCUGGAGCCUUCGUGCUCCCCAAAUCAUAACAUCUCCCAAUUUAUUUACUAACAUUUCCUAAUCCAACCUUUAUGCUUUCUCAAAUUGAUUUCCAUAGAAAUUAUGCUGCAUGACAGCUCAAAAAAAGUUCUCAACUCAUAAACUGGGAAUUACAUGACUAGCUCCGGCUAGUCUCUAAAGCUUUAUAAAAUAGAGCCUCUCAGGCUAAAACACAAAUAUAUAUGUAUGUAUCUACACUCGUCCAUACUCCUUGUAUGAAAAAAAUAUAAGUUCAUACAAGGCUACUACGCUUGCGUCCAACGCUCAUGUCACGCCUUAAUGCGGUGCUACACUAAGCCAUUAAGGUGGACAGACGGGUGUAUAAAUAUGUGCUCAUACCCCCUAUAUGAAUUAGACACUCAUAUAGGGCUACUACGCUCGCGUCCAACGCUCACGUCACACCAUAAUGCGGUUAUAUACUACGUCAUUAAGGUGGACAGACACAUAUAGCUAGCUAGCAUUUAUAUACAUACUCUCCUCAAUAUACAUAUUUAUACUCACCGAAAAAUCCCAUUUUUCGGUAACUCUCCAAGAGAAAUAAAAACAUCAAAAUUAAUAUGACGUCAAAUGCUCCAACAAAAUUAGUUGUUCAUCCAUGAACCAUAGCAUGUAUAUUAUUUAAAACAAAAGUCCACUCAAAAAAUAAGCCUAAGCCUGAUGUCAAUCCGAGGCCUCUUCUGCUCGAGCCUCCUCACAUCCUAUUCCAAAUGUAUAAUUAAAUUCCCAACUGAAAUUCCAAUAAUUAUACAAAAUAGGCAUAAUUAAAUGUGAGCCAUAACCAUGCUCAUCAUUGUCUAACUUCGAUAUUCCUAAAUCGAAACGAUCCAAACUUUAAUACCCUAAACGGCAGCCUUAAAAACAACCUCCCCCAGAAUAACGACUUAAAUCCUACGGCCGGAGUCUACAUUAAUUAACCGCCAAAAAUACCAAACUUCGAAAAUUCACAAACCUACCCAAAACUAAUCCAAAAAUUCCAUAAUUCACAUCAAUAAACUCCCUUUAAUAUUCCACAUUUAAAACCAUAAAAAUCUCCCAAACAGCGGCGCCGUUGUCGGCGGGGCCGGAGGCCGACUCCGACGACCUCCAAUGCCUACCGAAAUUUGACAGCAUCUUCCUCUCAACUCACCCUACAACUUUCUUAACUAGAAUAACACCCAAUUCCAAGCCUAACUAUGUCAAUCGAACAAAAACAUCACAAAAAGCCCUAGAGCUUCCACUCACCGUUUCUCCUCACCUAAAGCAAACUGGACCGAGUCCUCCUAGGGCAAGGCAACUGGGUUGAAGGCCUUCAAAAUCAUGUAAGGCUUUCCCGGAUUGGUGGCCGGAGGAGGAAGUUCUGGCGACGGAGAGCUUUGGACAGCCAGAGGUUUCGGGCGGCAACUCUCUCUCACGGCGGUGCUAGAAGAGCUCUCACCGGUCCAGGAGGGACGCUGGGUUGAGGGCCGACAGAUCGGGACCGGAGUGGCGGCCUACGGUGGCCGGACAGCGGCGGACGGCUGAGAAGAAAUCCUGCAGCGGGAGAGAGUCGGGGAAGAGGAGAGAAGAGAAAAAGAAAGAAAAAGAGAGGGAGGGAAUUGGGCCUCCCAACCGGUCCCCUACCCCAACUACAUACCAACCCAAUUCCAAAAAAUAACACCACAAAAUAAUACCCUAAUAAAAAUUACCUUUUACUAGCUAAAAUUUACCAUUUUUACCGUCACCACAUUUUUCUCCUACGAAUAAUUCCACCGUAAUAGUCGUCCCCCAAAACCCCUCUAGGGACCAAUUAAACCAUAACUCAUUGACAGAGACGGUAAAAUUCUUAUUAAUACGAAGUUAGUAAAUAAGGUAAAAAUUUAAGGGUCGGGAUGUGACAUCAAUUCAUUUAUUUCAACAUUCUAAAACAAUAAUAAGGAAAAUCCAACGGUCAGAUUCUACCCCAUUAACCGCCAAAUUCACCAAUCUUUCAAAAAUCCCAAACCUAUCCAAAACUCCUCCAAAAAUUCCAAACUUCACAUCAUUAAACUCCCCUUAAUAUUACACAUUUAAAACCAUGAAAAUCCCCCUAACAGUGGCAGCCGACUCCGGCGAUCUCCAAUGCCCACCAAAUUUUAGCACGACCAUCCUCUCAACAAUCUAAACAACUUUCAUAACUACCACAAACACCAAUUCUAAGCCUAGAUAGGGAAAUCGACUAAAAACAGUAAAUUGAGCCCUAGAGUUUCAAUCAUUGCUUUCUCUUUACCUGAAACGAACUGGAUUGAUUCCUUCUAGGGCAAGGAUACACCGGAGAAGACCUCCCAAAACAUACAAGGAGUGCUCGGAUUGGUGGCCGGAGGAGGGAGAUAUUCUGGCAAAACUCCUCACUGCACAGUCGGGCUUCUAGCCGAGAUGACCUUCUCUGGGCGGCGUUAGAGACCCAAUCCCCAACCCAGAAAGUGGCAGAAGAUGAUGGCGGACAGACUGAGACCGAAGCGGCGGGCUAUGCUGGCCGGACGGCGGCGAUCGGAGCCGAAGAUCGCUGGCGGAAGGAAAAGGUUCAAGGGAGAGGGGAGAGAGAGUCGAGUAGAGAGAGGAAAUAAGGUUUGGGCUUUCCAAACCGGUUCCACAACCCAAACCUUUUAAAACCCAACACUAAAAAUUAACACCCUAAAAAUAAUACCCUAAUAAAAAUUACUCUUUUUACUAGCUAAAAUUUACCAUUUUUAUCGUCGUCAAAUUUUUCUCCUUCGAAUAAUUCCACUAAAAUAGACGUCCUCAAAAACCCCUCUAGGAACCAUUUAAACUAAUAACUCAUUGACGAAGACGGUAAAAUUCUUAUUAAUACCAAGCUAGUAAAUAAGGUAAAAAUUUAAGAGUCGGGAUGUGACAUAAAUGGCCCCCUCAGUUUGAUGUGUUCCUCAAGAUACUGAUGAAUAUCAGAAAAAGGCCGAUAUAUUUCUAUGCUACAAAAGGUAUUCAACAUGGGAACCUCUUAAUUAGUGUAACAAUAUAGUGGCGAACAUGUACAUAAACCUUUUGCUACGGAGCCGAACGAACUUGGACUGUAACAUCCCAUAGAAUUAAAACUUUUAAGUUACACCUUCCCGGACGGGCCCCGACACGGUCUAUGGGCCUCGUAGUUGCAUUACUGCAACCGUCUACAGCUUGAAAUCGGGUUGUUCUAGCUUUUUUAAAAAUACAACUCGAUACUUAUUUAUAAUAUUAACAAUACAACUCGAUAGGUUACAAUCUGUCAUCACAUCAUAAUGUUGUUACAACUAGCACACUGAUAUUGAGGUGCAAGAAAUUCCUUGCUCAUCGCGAGCACAACUUUUCCAGAGACAUGUUCCCUCAGUCAGGUUUCACGUAUCGACCUGUAGAUAGGAUCACACUGCCUGUACUAAAACACAAAUACCCGUAGGUAAGCUCAUGUCCUUCUGUGGUGGCAUUCACUUCAAUCACGAGGAAAGAAGAACAACGACUUCACCAUCGAGUUUUUGUCUCCUACAUAAAACUAGCGAUUUCAUCGUCUCAACUUUUCACGAACUCGAAAUCCAAGUACCAUCAUCUCAUUCACGUCGAUGAGAUGCUCGCAAAUUCUCAACCACAAAUCCUUAUUGUUGGCCUCGCGUCAUUGUGGUAUUUGCUCACUGUUAAUGCGUUAUGAAAUUAUUUCUUUGAGUCUACGACUGAUCCUUUCUGCGCAUCUUGAUAAACGACUAUGUCGUACCUCGACGAACAAUCGAGAAUCACUUCCUCUAGUCCACUUGUCAAGGAGCCAAAAUUCUCGCAUCCUUGUGCUUUUAUAGUGGUUUGAAAACUCUACGGCUUAAUAAUUUCAAUAGCUACAGGUCACGAACAUCACUUCCCUACCCCUUCCAAUGCCAAGAUUCAUUGCCCAGUCAUACGUCCUCCAACCACGUUGCUCCAAGGGUAUAGCACAUAUAUAUCGUACAUCUUUGGAGUUACGUCUUUGAUUGAAUUACGUUGUAUGAAGUCCAGAAACAGCUUCCAGCUUGAUGUUCAUGACUUGGUUGACUUGACACUCACUAACACCAACCUGAGAACAUGAUCGUGUGAUCCGGUCUACGCUUCCCUUAACUUGCUGCUAGAUCGUACUAACUUGGUCCCAGAAAGACCGAAAAGUUCUAAAAGAUAGAAAACACGAAACUGAAGUCACCCACUAGCUGCCAUCGGAACUUGACCAAAAACUCAUACUCCUCGUGAGGUGUCGAGGUGUACGGCUUUGCACACGUGCUAGAAAGUCUAUUCCAAUACGAUAUGCAUGCCUAGAUCAAUACUCUACAGCUCGUGUCAAAAUGACUCAAAUGUCGAUAAUGAAAUAGUCUUCUGACCCUCUAGAAAGUUGACCAUACUCACAGCCUUUUCCACUGCUUCAAUUGUCUCUUUUGGGAGUCGAAAGCCUUCCAACUCUCUGUAAUACAGAGUUACGUACUUUCACACUCAUUUGUGACCGGUGGUGGAGCAAGGAAUUAAUUUUCGUCUAGGCUAGUUUAUACCCUUAUAUGUGAUUUUUUUUUUUUUUGACAAUGUUGUUUCCAUGUCAAAAAGCUAUUUCAAGGAGUAUAAUAUAUAAUGUCCUCAAAGACCUAUUUUUCUUAAGAUGGGGGGAAGAAAAUAAGAAAUAGUAAUGGAAAAUAGGAAAUUAUUGUAGGAAAGAUAAAAGAAAACAAAGAAGAAAUGUAGAAAAAGGAAGAAAAUCGAACCCAGGGCAAAACAAAGAAGAAAAUGUAGAAAAAACAAGAAGGGGAAAGCUGGUAUUUGAACCUAGGUUAGGAAGGGAGAUGAAAGUCUUAACCGAGCCGGCCAUUUGCCAACUGAACUAUCUUGGAUCUUGGUUCACUAUGCACAGGUAGUGGUAUAUAUCCAAAUAUUUUUUCUAGGCUUCAGCCCAUAUAGCUUUUCAAGUAGAUCCGCCCCUGUUUGUGACGCCGUGAAUCUAUUUCUUUCCAAGUUCAUCACCUGAUACUCCUCGGUUAGGCUUCAACCGCUUCACGUGCUCAAUCUCUUCCCCUGCUCAACCUUGAACACGCACAAGUGCAUGUUGUAACCUCCAUUUGAAGAUUGCGCGUCAACUUAAGUGUCGUCAAAGUGACAGCUAGGUGAAAACUCGUUGUUGCUCGAAUCGAGUAGGGUCUAGACAAACUCUUUAGGUUCCUCCCUCUUAUGCAACCUAAACCAAAGCAUUCUCAAUAGAAAAUUCUUUUACAAGAUUUACCACUUCGGAUCCACAUCCUCAUUCUCUCUUUUCAUUUUCUCUGCAUCAGAGGAUCUAAAAUAGGGUCCAAGAAUAAUUGUCACCUAUUCUAUAUUUUCAAUCUCUAACCUAGCAAUAGCAAGGUGCUUCUAAAGAUCCACUCAACAUUUCAACAUUGCACCUUAUAAUCCAUAAACUUUCAACAUUACACCUUGUUCGUAUCACAUUAUAGAUUCAAAAGAGGAGAAAUCAAAUUGACACAAUUUUAUAGAGAUGAUCAUGUCAUAUAUGAUUAAAAAAUGAGCCAAAUAACUUUAAUUUUAAAGAAAAAUUAAGACUCGUAACAGCCGGUAAGAUCGAGUAACAUGGUUGAGAAAAUAUCACGUGCGCGCCAGGACCAAACCUAACAUUCUUCAUUCUUCUCUUAUUCUUUGCGUCUCUUGUUUGUUAUUAGCCACGAGUAAUACUAUGCUGCUGCUUCAAUCCUCUCAAAUUGCUGACCACGGCGGUGGUGGUCGCCGUCCUCCUCUAAAUCAAUCAACUAGCUGACAGAGAAUGGAGGGAUCCUCAUCCUCGCCGUCUUCCGCUAUCUUCUACGAUUUUCUCGACCGAAUGCGAAACCCCGCUUCCCUCGAUCUCGUCCGAUCCAUUAAGAGGUACGCUUCUUUCCUCGAUCUCAUCCGAUGAACAGUUUCAUUGUUUGUGACUCAAUUCCUGAUUGUUUCUUGGUGCCGGCAGCUUCAUUGUUUCGUUUUCGUUUUACCCUGCAAACCCUGAAAAUGACGGCAAACGGGUUCAAGAAUUCUUCGCCACAAUGGAGGAUUCAAUUAGGGAUCAUCCCUUGUGGUCAGGUGCCACUGAGGACGAAGUGCAAAGUGCAAUGGAGGUACUCUCUCCCUCUCUCCCUCUCUCCUUUAUCCUCAAAUCAAACUAUCAAUUGAACUGUUUUCGGAAAUCUUUGCAGGGUUUGGAGAAGUAUGUCAUGACCAAAUUGUUCUCCAGGACCUUUUCUUCUUGUCCGGAGGAUGCCAAGACUGACCUUGAAGUCUCGCACAAAAUACAAUUGUUGCAGACUUUCCUGAAGCCCGAGCAUCUGGAUAUUCCACCAGUUCUACGCAAUGAAGCUUCAUGGCUGGUAAGCAUGCUGUAUUUCCACUCUCUUUCUCAUUACUUAUGUUGCCACUACAUUAGUUUUGUGUUUCACUUGGUGCUGUUAGUUUCAGGGUUAUGUUUGCUGUAAUACUGUGCAUUGUAGUAGAGAACUAGAGUUGUUAUAUUUCAGGGAUAUGAUCCAAAUUGUUGUUUUUGAACAUAAGAUAAAUGCCAUUUGUUCACUUUGGGUUUCUGUAUGUCAUAAUGGCUAUAACUAAUAGGAUAUCCUAACUAAUAGUUACUUGGAAGGAUGAGUAAAGCAUUUCUUGGCAUGUUUCAACAUACUUGUAUAUUUUUUUUCACUUAGAUUUAUGCUCUACAGACAGCUCAUUUCAAGAGUGGAUAGGCUCAUUAACAACAGUUAUUAGAAAUGUUUGUAACAACUUAUUUUCUAAAAGUGGAGCUCUAACUGUCUGUAUCAGUUAUACACUAGAUUAGCAUCCUUGUUGUCAUGCAUGAUACACGACUGAAAUAUGAUUGGAUGUGCACAAUAUGGAAUGCAAAGUUUUCAACACAAAUGUAUAUAUUUCCUUUUUGAGUUUCAAAGUGUGCUCUAUUGUUUAUCUUAAUCAUUGCGACUUACAAUGAAAAUCGGGGAUUUCUCUUCUCUGUUUACCCCUCAUUUUACUUUGGAAAGGAAGGAGAAUUUCUCUCUGAAAAGAAAUAUAUAUGCUGUAUAUAAGAGCCUAACAAAGAAAAAGAAGAUUGGUGUCAUAAUAGAAUUUAACAGCAGUAGAUAAAGUGUUACGUCACUAUAAAUACAUCCAGAAAGCUAAAAAGGGAUAUGUUAAUAUUUCACAGCAUUGAUAGCUACUGGCUUACAGUUGACACCCUGGAGCUUACGUAAUUUUUAGUUUAAGAUAAUUAAUAAAUUUUGAAAAGCUCCUAGCAGUUGCAUAGAGUCUUGAACAGCUAUCCUUCAUGUUGCAUCUUUGUUGAAAAUACUGUUUGAUAAGGUCACAUGCCCAUCCAGAGAAGUAGAUUCUAAGAUUAUAUUAGUAACUGUAUUUCCAGAUUUUAUCUUGUAUAUCUGGUGUAUUGUAAACUCCCCAUUACUGGCAAUACUUUUGUUUCUUCCUUGUCAAUGUCAAGGAGAAGCCAUAAUUAUACUUUCUUUUUGCACCCAGCUUGCAGAAAAAGAGUUGCAGAAAAUCAAUGCUUUCAAAGCCCCCCGUGAGAAGCUUCUCUGUAUCAUGAAUUGUUGCAAGGUCAUUAACAAUUUGUUGCUCAAUGCAUCAAUGUCAGAAAAACAUGUACUAGCCGGAGCUGAUGACUUCCUUCCUGUCCUUAUAUACGUUAUGAUCAAGGCAAGCUCUCCUUGGUAAUAAGCCAUUUUAUUGAUUAUGUGCAGCUUUAAAUUUGGUUCCUAUUUUUUUUCCCGUGUUGGUGGAAAAUGAAAUUCUGUCUUUAUUCAUUACCUCCUUUUUUUGGUGCUCAUGUUGGGUGCCUUUGUGAUAUCAUAUUCUUAAUAUUGAUCGUCUUCUUUGUUUUCUAGUCUCAGACAAACUUAUGGAACCACUGUUCUGAUCGGGGAUAAUGUUGAUUACUUUUGUGAUUUGAUAGCAUGUGUAUACAUUGUGUGUUAUUCUUGUUUCAUAGUUGCAUGAGAAUUGAUUUUUUUAUGCCUGAUGCAUAAGGGUUGCUUAUCAACUGAUCAAUAGCUACUUUACACAGUUGGUGCUUGCAGUUUUGAGUUGUCUAAUUACUAUGAAGAUACUAAGUCUUUUACCUGCACAAUUUUACAGGCCAAUCCUCCGCAAUUACAUUCCAACCUCAAGUUUAUCCAGUUAUAUCGAAGGCAGGCAAAACUUGUGUCAGAAGCGGCCUAUUACCUCACCAAUCUUGUCUCAGCUAAAACAUUUAUUUCUGAGUUAAAUGCAAAAUCUCUUUCUAUUGAUGAAAUUGAAUUUGAAGAGAGUAUGCAAGCAGCGAGACUGACCAAUAAAGAGACAGAAAAGGAGGCCGCACCCAGUCUGGAAGAAAUGACAACCUCCCAAGAUCAUGAAGAUCCUGGCCCUUCAUUGCGAUACCAUGAUAAAGAAACAAGGGGUAAGUUUCAAACUACAACAAUCCUCAUUUUCCUAUAUGUUUGCCGUCACACCAACUUCCCUUAUAACUUUAAACAUCCGAUCAGAGGCUCAACUAAUAUGCAUAUUUUUUCGUUUUUUGAAACUAAAUUACUAGCUUCAGUAGAAACAACCAAUAUAUUGCAGUUUGAAUCUAUGGAUUAGUAUUACUAUAACAUUAAGUUGACCCCUCAAGAAACAGAUAUUAUUAUUGGUUGUUUGUACUGAAAUUUGUUUUUCACUUUCUGUUUCAUAAAUUUUAAAUGCUAGGUUAAUUUUACCCUGUAAGGAAUAUAGUUGCAACAUUUUUGAAUGCCAUCCACAUAUAUGCAUGGAUGCAUCGACUACUGUAAGAAAGAUUUUCUCUUUGGUCCUUGGUAGUAUCAGAGUGGAUCUGAAAUUGCUAAUGAUCAAUCACUACAGGUAGGUCAAACUACCCUUAUAUGGACAAAGAAGCUGGGGAUUUGACAGUCGGAGAUGUGGAGAGAUUGCUGACUGUGUACAAGGAAGUUGUUACCAAGUAUACUAGCUUGUGCACCGCUUUUAGGCAGCUUUCAUUUUCUAGGAUAGAAAACAAUGUCACUAGUUUAGAAGACAGAAAGGUCUCAUUCACAGAGUCUAAGGAAUCAGGUUUGAAUUCAUCUCAAGGAGAUGGAGAGUGAAUAGGUAGAUAUGUAAUUUUGAUAGAUCAGUCUCCAAAUCAUGACACAAAUUUCACUGGAUUACAAUAAAUAUUUGUUUUUGUUUCCAUUGAACUGCUAUAUACACACAACUUGACAAUGCGGGAAAGUCACCAAGGAGAAACUCUAAAAGAGAAAAUCUUCGCCCCAUCUUAAAACCUACAAAGGCUACAAAAUACUACAGUCAACGUACACUAGAAGUCAUAUUCAGGUUAGAAGCUACACCUCGACCAUCUGCCCUGACUGCCUUGGCUCUGCAAGUUGUGUUAGUCACAGGAACAUAAUUAGCGUCCUUGGCAGAAUCACAGUUGCUAUGGCUUUUCUCCUGGUAUGAGCUCAUACAUCUCAGGCAAACAAACUUCGCAGGGAUCUCAUCAGAGCAACGAAUGCCAGCACACCUCGUGUGCUGCCAAACACCACAUGUAUCACAAGCCAUCAUUCUCUCCCCAUCAUCAUCCUUCGUCCCACAUGUGCAAUCAACAAUCCAGCUUUCAAUUCCUCUCUCCAUCCGGAAUCGGUUAAGACCAUGUUUUGCCGGGCAUUUCCCUUUCAAAUGAACUGUGCCACUUGUUCCAAACAGCAGUUUUGCUGUAAUUGAAUCAUUUAUAGAGCCACAUUCAAGCAACUCCUCCACUUCAAACCUUUUAAACAUGGCAUAUACUUCCUGAAAGGCUUUGGUAGCUUCACUUUUAAGAUCGGCAAGAGUUGCAUUCAGAGGCAAAACAACUAGUUCUGGAGGCAGGACAAAAUCAUCUUUUAGGUGGUCUGAAAGCUGCACAUCACACCAGAGGUGAAUACGAGAAAGGUGUGCUGCUUCAAUUGUAUCAGGCUUGUAGUCCUUGAUAAAUUGCUUGCAAUCAAGAAGCUUAGUUGCUGCAUCAAUAACAUUAUCCCUCAUCUCUUGAGGUGCAUAGCAUAGCAUGGUGUCAGGGUGGAGAAUGGAAUCAUACAAAAAUUUGAGGUCACCAAGGAUUUGCUGUUCGGAUGGAAAAUUUGGCUUGAACUCAGAUCUUCCAAUAGCAAAUGGCUCAAGUCUGUUACCAAAGUUCAUGUUAGUGCUUGUACUAAGUGUUUAAAAGGGACUGAAACCAAACAGACAACACAGAUUUACCUGUAUUCAACACCGGUAGAAUCGGGAUUGCAUCUAGUUUCAACUACCAUGUUAUUAGCUACCAACUGACCUCCCAAGUGUUUAAGGGAGUAAUCAAGAAGCUCUGCGGAGAAAGUUUUGUAUAAUGCACCCUUGAGAGCACGUUUUGACACCCAAUUGGGCUCACGAACUGCUGAAAGCAGCUUGAUCAUAGCUUGUUGCACAUGUUGGACAUCGUUGGCUGUCCACACGCACAAAAUAUUGUAAGUGUCAAGGUUGAGUUUCUUGGAUGAAGUAGGUCCACGGGGCUUAGGAAUUAGACUAAACAUAAAUGUAAAAAGAUCUUUUGUUGUUUGGAGUUGGGCAUUGGAGAAAGAUUGGUAAAAGGCAAUGACAGCUUGCAGGCGAGUCCUGGGUUUCCUAGGCUGGAAUUGGAAAGGGUGUAGGGGCAAGAUGGAGAUGGUUUCCACUGCUUUGUGGUAUGAGUCUUGUGUGAGAGCAUAGCUCCCACAUCGAAAUUCAUAACCCCAAUUUCCAUACCAAGAGCGGCCAUGGGUGACUGCAUGCAGCAAUCUGUACUCCAUCCCAUACUUUUUUGAUACAUCCAUCACACUGACCUUCCUGUUCAGUUCAAGUUAAAGCACAGCAACAGUUCAGUAUACCAUUUCACAUUUGUUACAAUGUCCAUCACAAUUGACAAAAAUAAAUAGAUGUUCUUAAAGGAUUAUGACCUGACGGAGAGGGCUAGACAGAGCCUAUCCCACAAGUCCAUAAUGUGACGGCCGGAGAGAGAGGUGGAGCCUCCUUGUCUGCCAUUGAGGGUAAGAAGAUGGGCGAAGCCAUUGGAGUGGAUGACAGCAUGAAGAAGAUGAGUGUUGUCAUGCAAUUGGUUAUAGGCCCACUCUUCAACAUCAUCGGCCGUGUCCUCCGCCCCGGUGGCACUAAUAGAGUUGCACCACUUCUCUUGCUGUGGCGGCUGCUGGAACUGGAAGGGAGUCUCACUAUCACAGCUCUCAGCGUUGCUUCUAAUAAUGAAGUGAUAUCGCUUUCGGCAAACAGGAUGCCCACUCCAACCUAUCAACCAACAUUAUCCAAACUCCUCUAAAUAAGUAAACUGAAAAAUAAAAAUGAAAAAGAUGGUUGGAGACGGCGACUGCACUCACCAACGACUCGGCACUGGUCGCAGUAGACGGAUCGCCGGGAGCGCGUGACGUCCUCCUCGACGAUAUCCAAGGGAAGGACGACGGCGGGGUCGACCCGGAGGGCGAUCUGCCAGGUCAGCAGGGAGGGGAAGAGAGAGGAAGACGGGAGCGUGACGCGCGCGUGGCGGCCGAGAAAGCCGCGCACGUUGUCACGGAAGGCUUCGGGAGAGUCAGGAGGAGGAGGAGGAGGGAAGGUGAAGAGGUCGGGCAGAUCGGCGAAAACCCGCCGCCUGGCUCUCUUGGAAGGCCUCUCGUUCACAACCAUGGUAGAUCUGAGAAGCUAGCUUGUUGGUAUUCGUGUCAAAUUUUUAUCUCAAUAUAUGUCUUUGGUGUUUUGAAUUUCAAACAAGAAACGAUUGAAUUGAAUUAAGGAAUUAGAUCUGUACAGAGAGAAAGAGUGAGGGGACUCACUGUCUUCACUGGUCUCUUAAACCCAGAAGGGAUUAGGAGAUUGGGAAGAGCAAAGAUAAACCUCUGUUUGUGUUUUUUGGAUUCUGUUACUUUUAUUUAUAUGGAAUCCUUUAACUCCUAAUUUGCUUAUGUUUCGCGUAUGGCGGUUCCUGAUAUUUCUCUAUUUCUUUUCCUUAUUUUCCACCUUCUUUUUUUAAUUAUCAAUUUCUCUUCGAUUUCCUCACUUUUUGAAUUUUAUUUGUAUUCAAAGUGGGAAAACCAAAGUUCGUCAGAGUCCUCGGUGCAGACGGGGACUAAUAAUCUUGCACAAUCCUUUUGGACCUUCUUGUCCCCAUAAAUAUGCUCGUCUGGGCCCACUCCCUAAGGUAUAAAUGGAAUUUUACUUUUCUUAUUUUUUUUCUUUUCGAUUUUUCAUAUUAGGGAAGUAGCUAGAAUUAUAUUUAGUGGGAGUUUUUAGCACCUUCACAUUCAUGAGUAUAUUUAUUUCCUUUUUCAACUAAUUUCCUUUUCUAUUGGUAGGUGAAAAUAACGUAAAAUCCAGAAUAAUAUUAGGGAAAAAAAAGGGAAACAAAAUCUUUUUUUUUUUGUCGAAGAUAGGAAAACACAAUGUCAAGGAAUUGUCCAGUACCGUUUGGUCUAGUGGCAUAUGUCUCUUCUUAUAAGUGAGAGGUUGUAAGUUCGACUCACAAUUUUGUAGCACAUUAAUUGUGUAUUUAGUAAAAAAAAAAUGGCAAUGAGUUCUUAAAUACAAUCUUAACAGAAGUCACAAACUAACACUUUCUUAAUUAUUUGGGUAUAAACAAUAAGAAGCUAGCCACAAAGAACGCGCUUCAUUGCUCAAACAAAAAAAAAUUGUUUUUGUCGAUAAAUUUCGUCUAUAUUUGUGCGGCAUGUCAUCUUUGGCCUCACAUGCGUUUGUCAAGUGCAACCGGACGAGAUGUUAGUAUAUGAGCAUGUUAUUGGUAGGGGCUCUAAGGAUAUAUGCUUUCUUGGUUUCAGUCAAAGGCGAUGUGGGCACAAGCAAGGGCUUCGGUGAUGAUUCGGUCGGAUCUCAAAGCAAGCAUCAAUUGUGAGGCCCGAUAUGGGUUAUGGGAUCGUGGUUCUCAUUGCAAUCUCACUGAUGAAAGAUUGGCGACUUUUUGGUGCUUGUAGCAUAGGGCGGUUGAGGAUUUCUUUGUGGGCUUUCGCGAUUUGGGGUUAUGUGUGGGAAUGUUGCAACGAGGAUCAGUUGAUAAUAGAGUUCUGGCAAUGGUUGUUAUUUGCAUGCAACGGUGGCACAACGGUUUCUCCGGUGUCCUUGUGGUGGUUUGGUUGUUUGUGCAACAACAACAUUUGCACCGAGAUCAAGGGUUGUACUCGUUUAGCCUUAGUCUAGCUAUAUGCUUGUUCUAGGACCAGUGUCAUGGGCUUGGUGUUUCACUCUCUGUCCAAAAUCUACUACUGUUUCUAUUUUUAAUUAUUGUUAUUGAUAAUCUCGGAUGUGUGGUAUAGGUACACAUAUAUUUUAUUCAUUAGUGAGAUUUUUUUUUCUUUUUUAGGGAAAGACCAUCUAAUAAAAAUUAAAAGUGUUACAAAUUAGAUAACUCACUUUAAGAGGGCUACGAAAAUAUUGAAUAAUUCUUAGGUGUUCUUUAUUGGUCAAAAAUCACAAUGCAAGCUAAAAAAGACCACCUAAAUGUUGUAACAAUUCAACGAAAACAAUAACAAAAACAAAGAAAAUAAAGAAAACAUUUAACUGACUGUACUAGGGGAUAAACCGAAACGAAACCAAAUAUCCCCAAGCCUUAUUGAAAAUUGAUAGGAAAUUUACUCGAGUGCCUUUCAAGGCACGGUAGCAUCCUACAUCUCCAUUUGAGCCGCUUCUACUGCAAUUUCUUACACCUUCACUAGCUGCUCAUCUACAUAACCUUUGCAUACCAUCGGAACCUCAACAAAUGCUCCAUCUUCAAAGCAAGAGCUUUAGCAACACCCUUGCGGUGACUGACGAGGCUUUAUCACUCGUUGCACACCAUCGACCUUAGGCUUGUUUUCUGGCUGGGAGGUUUGCCCAUCCUAGUUUUCUUAGCCAGGGAGACUAUGAUACCCCAUUAGUAGUCUGAAUGGACAACUCCAAUUCAAACCCUAAAUUUACCUCUUCAUUCUCUUGCAAGAGUGUGACCACCAUCUUAGCUCUUUUGUUGUAUUGAAUUAGAGUGAGGGUGGGUACAUGUUCUCUUCUUACCAUUGAUAGGCUCAGUUCCUGCUUUAGAAGCUUGUAGCACUACAUGAGAUGAUGAGUCUGCCAUGAAGGUCAGGGAUUAAAUUUUGCCACACUGCUCGACCAGGGACACUGCAAUCUAGCUUGGAAAGUUCAAAGUGAAGGGCUUUGGUUGUAGUACAAAAGAAUUAGUGAUAGGAGUAGAUAAAGUACUGCCUCUCGACAUAUCAACCCUGAAUUACAGUUAGGGUUUGGGAUCCCAUCUUCAACCCUAACCACUUCAAGCCCAUCUUCCACCUCUAGAGGUCGCCGCAUCCUACAGUCGGAUGCUCAUGGAGGCCGAAUACACGACAGUAGCCUACCAUACGGUAGUAUUUGAGUCGCACCAUGGCCACCGUAUCAGAAGCAUAUUCAAAGGUAUGUGGAGGAUAUGCCUGCUUCACAGGACCAUUUAGAGCAUCAUGAAUCCAUAUUUUUGCUACAGUACCACGCUUCACUAAAAGAUAAAUGUGGACUUUAACAAUAUUAUGUGACUUAUAGUUCAAGCAAUUGAUUAAACCUAAUCUAAGUAUUACAAGUUGUAUAAGGAAUGUGAUAUCUGUAAUAUGUGGAUAAUAUAUAGUUUACAUAUUGAAUCAUGAAUCCAUAAUAUCUUCUGAUACGAUCUCAUAAUCUUUGGCAAAUCUUAUAGGAUUUAACUAAGAAUCUUUAAUGGGCAAGACACUAGUUGAUCACUAUAAAUAGACGAGCGUAAGUCCAUGUUCUCAUCAUAAGACGCAUACAAUCCCUAUCCCAUCUAAGUAGCAUAUUGUGAGAGAGAGCAUAAGACCUAAGCUUUCAGACAUGACCAUCUCCAUCAACAACGCUGGUAAGUCUUAAGUUCUACAUGUGUUGAUCUUGUGUUUAUAUGCUUGCGCUAACCAUGUUAUAAUUAGCUUCGGAUUCCUUUUAAAUGGUAUCAGAACGAGGCUCUCGUAGCCUUGCAUAUAAAUCAAUUCAGAAAAUCAACAUAAUAAUAGUUAAGUGUUCAUAUGCUAUGCUUUAGAAACAACAAACAAACAAAAAAAUCAGUAAAACGGGCCAACAAAAUCGUUAACCCAUUCAGAAACUCAAGCUGUGUCAGGACCCACCCCGAAUUUCACUCUGAAACCCGAGGUAAAUCCUGCGGGGUCCAUCUUCAAGAAAAAUUUACCGAAAAUUCGGCAUAACCUUUCUUGAAAAUGGACAACCCUUUCCUGAAAAAUCCAACUUAACACUUCUAUAAUCAAACAUCCAUCCUCAUCUCCUGGAGCCUUCCUGCUCCCAAGUUCAUCAAAAUUCCUAAUAACAAUUUCUCAUCUAAAAAUAAUUCCACAACCAACAACAAAGACAUUUAAUAAACUACUACUAGACUUUCAGAACAUAUCUAAUGAUGAAUGAAAACAAUGGAAACGAAUAAGCGGAAGCAGCCUCUGACUAUGCCUCGACUCCAUGUACGCUCGUCCUCAAAUAACUUAGCCUGCAAACUGGGCAUUUAUAAACCAAAUGGCCCAGGGGAAAGUAAUUUAAAAACGUUAGAGUGAGUGGACGAAAAUAAAUUCAAUAACUUAACAAUUAUAAAACUUAUAUACUUUCCCACUUUUCAACUUUUAAAACUUAACAGCAUGCAACUUAAACGUCCUUAAAACUUUAAAUCCAAAAUCACUUAAUAAAGGACAAACCAGCCCCGCUGGUUAGUUAAAACAGAAAUCUCAUAAGAGGAGAUAAACCAACCCCGCUGGUUAAUCAAAUAUAUUAUUGAGAAGAAUAAAAUAGGGGAAGAGUUAUCACCAUGAAAAAUGAGCCUUCCAGGCUUGGGUCGAUGCCUCCCAGGCUAUAAUAGCGUCCCACGCUAAGUGCUCAACUCACAAAUGAUGAGGACCGCUAAUAAGGCUAGCUAACUAAUAAAUAUAAAUACCGAUCGGUUGCCUCCCAGGCUAUAAUAGUGUCCCACGCUAAGCGCUCUACUCACAUAUGAAGAAGACCGCUAAUAAGGCUAUAAUAGCGACUCACAUAUGAUGAGGACCGCUAAUAAGGUUAGCUAGCAAUAAUAAAGAUAAACGACCCUAUAAUAUGGUGACUAAAACAUACGAAGUCACUUAAAUCCAUUAAACUUCCCCCAAGACCAAACGAAUGGUACGGUUCCCAACCGUAUAUGAAAAUCAUCAGAAGAAAUCAUAACACAACUCAAUGACGUGUCUCACACGUCAAAAUAUUCUCCAAUUUAUAAAUAUAAGCGAGAUUUCAAUAACAACUAUGAAUCAUAAAUAAUAGUAUCUCCGCCCGAAAAUACUCGCUCAAAUAUUCUCCAAGUCAAAAUCAUUAUGCCUCAAAUAAACAAUUAAAUUAUGAGGAGAACUACCGACAAUCCCAUUUUCGGUAAUCAUUUAUAAAACUCAAAGUCAAGAUCGAUAUUCCACCAAUAAUUUCGAGAAUUAAAAAUAGGAAACUACCGAAAAUCCCAUUUUCGGAAAUCUUAUAUAAAUCUCAAAAUCCACCAUUAAAACCAUUUAAUGAAAUCCGGAAUUUAUAAAAAUAUCCAAACUCAAAUAUCAAAAUAAUAAUCCGAGCUCAACUCCAUAAAUCAUGGCCAACACUUAAUAAAUGCACCAAACUCAAAUAAUUUUCAAGCUCAUCUCAUGAACUGAAAAAUUAUAUUAUAUGCUCGGAAAAUAAAAUGAUAGAUUAUAAAAUCUUGCAUGCAUAUUUAUUUUUAAAACCAAAAUGUCCACUCACAAAUUUAGGCAUAAGCCCGACGAUAACCGCAUCGCCACUCAAGCGAGGUUCCCUUCGCAUCCUGGCACAACAACCAUGCUUAGAACCAAACUUCAAUUCCAGAAAAUAAAUACGUGAAUUAAAAUAUCUAACUCUCCUCCGUUUAACCCUCUACUCUUAAUAGGGUUAAACUCGCCGGAUUCACACCAAACUCCACCACAACCUUAAUUCAUCAAUUCUAACAUUCUAUAAUAAAUACCAAGGAAAUCCAACGGUCGAAUUUUCAUUCUAAUAACCGGCAUUUUCUCCAAUCUCCGAAAAAUUCCAAACCUAACCAAAACUCAUCCAAAAAUUCCAAACUAUACUUCAAUAAACUCCUCUUAUUAAAACCAUCUCAAAAACAGGAAAAACUGCCCUUAAGGGGCGCCGCCGCCGGCGGCCUGCAGCCGAACUCCGACAACCUUUAAUGGCUACCAAAUUUUGACACAAUCUUCCUCUCAACAUCCCAAACAACUUUCAUAACUAUCAUUAAGUCCAAUUUCAACCCUAAAUAGGGUAAUCGAAGCCAAACAUAACAAGAAAACCCUAGGAAAUUCAAACACCCGAUUCUCCUUACCUAGCUCGAGUUAGGAUGAAUCCUUUUAGGGUUUAGCUGCUGGGAGGGAGAGCUUCAAGUUGAGACCAACAGCUCCGGCUAUGGUGGCCGGAAAAGACAGUUUCUGGCGAAACUCCACCACGCACAGCCGCUCCUUCUCGGCGUGAUUCCUCCCUCACGGCGGCGCAACACGACCAGCCACCUACCUAGAAUUGAAGAGGAUGUUCCAAGCUUCGAUUUGAUACCAAGCACGCCUCCUAUCUCGGCCGGACGGCGGCGGACGACGGCCGGAAAGUUUCCGGGUCGGGAGAGCUCGGGAGAAAGAGAGAGAGAGAGAGAGAGAGAGAGAGAGAGAGAGAGAGAGAGAGAGAGAGAGAGAGAGAGAGAGAGAGAGAGAGAGAGGUACGNNNNNNNNNNNNNNNNNNNNGCGUGUCCACGAACUCUGUUUAACAUCCUCU
rnacentral:lncRNA from 1 species